rnacentral:rRNA from 1 species
UACGGAGGGGGCUAGCGUUGUUCGGAAUUACUGGGCGUAAAGCGCACGUAGGCGGCUACUCAAGUCAGGGGUGAAAGCCCGGGGCUCAACCCCGGAACUGCCCUUGAAACUAGGUGGCUAGAAUCUUGGAGAGGUCAGUGGAAUUCCGAGUGUAGAGGUGAAAUUCGUAGAUAUUCGGAAGAACACCAGUGGCGAAGGCGACUGACUGGACAGGUAUUGACGCUGAGGUGCGAAAGCGUGGGGAGCAAACAGG